rnacentral:rRNA from 1 species
CGAAAGACUAAUAAAACCCCGUCAUAGCUGGUUCUCCCCGAAAUAUAUUGAGGUAUAGCCUCGCGUGCUGAGCAGUGGAGGUAGAGCACUGGAUCGACUAGGGCCCACACCCGGGUACCGAAUCGAAUCAAACUCCGAAUGCCAUUGCGUGCAACGCGGGAGUAAGUCCGUAUGGGAUAAGCUGUAUGGGCGAGAGGGAAAGAUCCCAGAUCGCCGGCUAAGGUGCCCAAAUAUUGCUAAGUGGAAAGGAUGUGAAAUUUCAUAGACAGUGAGGAUGUUGGCUUAGAGGCAGCCAUCAUUUAAACAGUGCGUAAUAGCUGACUCAUCGAGAAAUUUCGCGCCGAAAAUGAUUGGCGAUAAGCAAUAUACCGAAGCCGCGGAUACCAUUUGACCUCGGUCAGAUGGCCUGGUAGGGGAGCGUUCUGAGUACUGCGAAGCAGGAGGGUAACCAACUGUGGAGUGCUUGGAAGUGAGAAUGCAGACAUGAGUAGCGAUAAGACUGGUUGAAUUCCAGUCCGCCGUAAACCCAAGGAUUCCUGGGGAAGGCUCGUCCUCCCAGGGUUAGUCGGGACCUAAGUCGAGGCCGUAAGGCGUAGACGAUGGACAGCAGGUUCAAUAUUCCUGCACCACCGACAUUUAAGCAGUGGGAACACAGGCUCGGAGAAUAGCGGGGCGUUGAUCGUCCCUGUUUCGAAAGAUGACGCGGAGGCUACGGCUGAAGCGGAUUAUUCAAAGAGACUGUCGAGAAAAGCCACUGUGUAUACUAAGGUGCCCGUACCGUAAACCGACACAGGUGGGUGGGUAGAAUAUACCAAGGCGCGUGAGUGAAAUCUCUAGAAGGAACUAGGCAAAUUAGCCCCGUAACUUCGGAAGAAGGGGCGCCCCGCAAGGGGCCGCAGUGAAAGGGGUCAACCGACUGUUUAGCUAAAACACAGCUCUCUGCCAAGUCGCAAGACGACGUAUAGGGAGUGACACGUGACCAAUGCUCCAAGAUUAAGGGGAUCUGUCAGCGCAAGCGAAGCAUUGAACCCAAGUCCGAGUGAAUGUCGGCCGUAACRAUAACGGUCCUAAGGUAGCGAAAUUCCUUGUCGGGUAAGUUCCGACCUGCACGAAUCGUGUAACGAGUUGACCGCUGUCUCCUAGAGAAGCUCAGCGAAGUUGUAGUGGCGGUGAAAAUGCCGCCUUCCCGCAGUAGGACGGAAAGACCCCAUGCACCUUUUACUAUAAGCUGUUACUGUAUUGUCGCUAAGGAUACUUAGCGUAAGUGGGAGGCUUUGAGGUAUCUCUUUCGGGAGGUACUGAGCCGCCAA